AGAGUUUGAUCCUGGCUCAGAUUGAACGCUGGCGGCAGGCUUAACACAUGCAAGUCGAGCGGGGUGAGGUGCUUCGGUACUGAUCCUAGCGGCGGACGGGUGAGUAAUGCUUAGGAAUCUGCCUAUUAGUGGGGGACAACAUUCCGAAAGGAAUGCUAAUACCGCAUACGUCCUACGGGAGAAAGCAGGGGAUCUUCGGACCUUGCGCUAAUAGAUGAGCCUAAGUCGGAUUAGCUAGUUGGUGGGUAAAGGCCUACCAAGGCGACGAUCUGUAGCGGGUCUGAGAGGAUGAUCCGCCACACUGGGACUGAGACACGGCCCAGACUCCUACGGGAGGCAGCAGUGGGGAAUAUUGGACAAUGGGCGGAAGCCUGAUCCAGCCAUGCCGCGUGUGUGAAGAAGGCCUUUUGGUUGUAAAGCACUUUAAGCGAGGAGGAGGCUACCUAGAUUAAUACUCUGGGAUAGUGGACGUUACUCGCAGAAUAAGCACCGGCUAACUCUGUGCCAGCAGCCGCGGUAAUACAGAGGGUGCGAGCGUUAAUCGGAUUUACUGGGCGUAAAGCGUGCGUAGGCGGCUUUUUAAGUCGGAUGUGAAAUCCCCGAGCUUAACUUGGGAAUUGCAUUCGAUACUGGGAAGCUAGAGUAUGGGAGAGGAUGGUAGAAUUCCAGGUGUAGCGGUGAAAUGCGUAGAGAUCUGGAGGAAUACCGAUGG
rnacentral:rRNA from 1 species